ensembl:lncRNA uncharacterized LOC114851816
AUGUUCGGGUCCUCAGACUCCGCCCUUGUGUCAGCUUUCAAUCUUUGUUUCUGUGUAAUUGGAAUAAAGACGCAACGCCUCCGCUUCAGGACCAUAAAGCUCGGCUUCAGGUGGACUCGUCAUGAGCAGCGGGUUCAGACCUGCGUCCGUGAAGAGAUGGAGGCGCAGGUCCGAGCUCUGCUCCUGCUUCUAGUUUUAACCCCAUCUACUGCUGAGAAGAACCUGACAGGAACUGUGGGAGGAAGCAUCACUCUGCCUGAACCUGUGCUGGAUCUGGGAUUUUUUUUAUAUGGAACAAAGACUGUAGCCAUUGUGGUUGAUGGGAAAAUGAAGAUAACUGAGAAAAUGUCUGAGAACAAAGUUCUGUGGAGCGACAGAACUGGAUGCUUCACAAUAACAGACCUGCAGAGAAACGACUCAGGAAUUUAUACUGUUGACCUUAAAGGAAGUGGUGUCACAGCUUAUAAACUCAGCGUGUUUGACUCCGUCUCGGCUCCGACAGUGAACAGACUUGGCUCCGACAGCUGCGUCCUGCUGUGUGAGGUGGUCAACGCUGAGGAGACCACUCUGCUGUGGUACAAAGAUGACGAGGUGGUGAAGCAGAACAGCUCGGCUCCGUCUCUGUCGCUCACUGUACACGAGCAGGACUACAAAUCCUCCUACAGAUGUGUGGCUGCCAACCCCGCUGAACACAAGGCUGAACCAGUCAACGUGGAAGAGACCUGUGGACCCAACUACACAGGAAGGAACCAGGAGAAGCCGGAGGAUCGGAGUCGAGUCAUUGGCAUUGUUGUCUCCAUCUUGUCUGUGAUCAUCAUUGGAAUUGUUGGUAUCAUCAUUCAGAAACGUUUCCACAACCGCUUAGCAUUUCCAGCUAAGCGUUGUUACAGGUCCAGAGAACUCAAACAGACGUCCAGUACACUGAUGUACAUUUCUAUGACGACACACGGGGUCAGAAAACAUUUCCCAGAGCCCUCAGGAAGUCACGACUGCACGCAGCUGACAACGGUCUAUUAUAACCUGGAGGUUCACCGCUUGGUCCAACAUUCAGACCCUGGUUAG